rnacentral:tRNA from 1 species
GCCCGAGUGGCGCAACGGCAGCGCAGCCGCUUUGUAAGCGGAAGGUUGUGGGUUCAAAUCCCUCCUCGGGCUCCA